rnacentral:rRNA from 1 species
AGCGAACGCUGGCGGCAGGCCUAACACAUGCAAGUCGAACGGACCCUUCGGGGGUAUUGGCGGACGGGUGAGUAACACGUGGGAACGGGCCUUUAGGGUCGGAAUAGCUCCUGGAAACGGGUGGUAAUGCCGAAUGUGCCCUUCGGGGGAAAGAUUUAUCGCCUUUAAAGCGGCCCGCGUCUGAUUAGCUAGUUGGUGAGGUAACGGCUCACCAAGGCGACGAUCAGUAGCUGGUCUGAGAGGAUGACCAGCCACACUGGGACUGAGACACGGCCCAGACUCCUACGGGAGGCAGCAGUGGGGAAUCUUGCGCAAUGGGCGGAAGCCUGACGCAGCCAUGCCGCGUGAAUGAUGAAGGUCUUAGGAUUGUAAAAUUCUUUCACCUGGGACGAUAAUGACGGUACCCGGAGAAGAAGCCCCGGCUAACUUCGUG